rnacentral:rRNA from 1 species
AACGAACGCUGGCGGCAUGCCUAACACAUGCAAGUCGAACGAGAUCUUCGGGUCUAGUGGCGCACGGGUGCGUAACGCGUGGGAAUCUGCCCUUUGGUUCGGAAUAACAGUUGGAAACGACUGCUAAUACCGGAUGAUGACGAAAGUCCAAAGAUUUAUCGCCAGAGGAUGAGCCCGCAUAGGAUUAGCUAGUUGGUGUGGUAAAGGCGCACCAAGGCGACGAUCCUUAGCUGGUCUGAGAGGAUGAUCAGCAACACUGGGACUGAGACACGGCCCAGACUCCUACGGGAGGCAGCAGUGGGGAAUAUUGGACAAUGGGCGAAAGCCUGAUCCAGCAAUGCCGCGUGAGUGAUGAAGGCCUUAGGGUUGUAAAGCUCUUUUACCCGGGAUGAUAAUGACAGUACCGGGAGAAUAAGCUCCGGCUAACUCCGUGCCAGCAGCCGCGGUAA